GUCUAAGGCCAUGCUACCCUGAACAAGCCCAAUCCUGUCUGAUCUCAGAAGCUAAGCAGGGUUGAGCCUGGUUAGUACUUUGAUGGGAGACCACCUAGGAAGACCAGGUGCUGUAGGUA
rnacentral:rRNA from 1 species